CAGUCGCCGCGGGAAAACGAAGGGGGCUAGCGUUGUUCGGAAUUACUGGGCGUAAAGCGCGCGCAGGCGGUUCUCCAAGUCAGUGGUGAAAGCCCGGAGCUCAACUCCGGAACUGCCAUUGAAACUGUUGAACUUGAGGACGAGAGAGGUGAGUGGAAUUCCCAGUGUAGAGGUGAAAUUCGUAGAUAUUGGGAAGAACACCGGUGGCGAAGGCGGCUCACUGGCUCGUAUCUGACGCUCAGGCGCGAUAGCGUGGGGAUCAAACAGGAUUAGAUACCCCGGUAGUCCCUGUCUCUUAUAC
rnacentral:rRNA from 1 species